UCUCACUCAUUCCCGUGUCUGAGAUUCCUGCCUUUACAAGUUGGAAAGAUGUUUAAUUACCUCUGUACCAGAUCUUGUGCUGCUGCUUGGGCUAUGUUGAGAUCUCUGGAUAUGGAGGGUUCAGAGGCAAUGGAAAGGUUGGGUGGGGUGGGUGGUGAGAAGAAUCUGCAUGCCUUUUAAGUCCACUAACCCAGGUUAAUUCACUUAAAUAUUUAAAGCAGAGAAGCUUUGUAGGAGCCACCUCUGGCAGCCAAGAAGGCGCAAGAGGGUUUGAGGAAUUCAGAGUUCCCAUUCUCAUAUCUACCUGCAUGUCCUCAUGUUUCCAUGCCUGGAGCAAACCCACCCUUAGGACUUCUAGUUGAUUUGAUUUUCUUACUGUUGAAGGCCUUUUGAAGCAGAAUAUUCUUUUAUUUGUAGUGGUAAACCUCAGUGGAUUAAAUGAGACACUUGUCAUCAUAUUAGUAACCUUAUAGGUGUGGAUUAAAUGAGAUCUACCCAUAAGGCAUUUAAAGCUGCCCCUGCUACAUUUUGAGCGCUCAGUAAACAUGAACUGUUACCCCUAGACUUGGGAAGCAAAGUCUCAGGUAGCAGUUUUCUGACUGUGAGCUUGGCUUUAGUUGGUAAAUGUCAGGUGAAUAGGCGCAGAGCAGGUUCAGGGAGAGUGGAAAUAUCAUGAUAAGAUUCUGUUUACUCUUUGGGGACUGACAUGAAGCCAGAAAGAAAACCAUUUUACCUGGUGAACAGGCAAAGUCCAGUGUAGGAGUCAUUUCUUGGGCUUAGGACAGACGUUUCUGGAGAGUGACAACAGAUAUGCCUUCCCAAAGAAAGCUGAGGCCUGGCUGUGGAUGAGAUCUGGGCCUCCUUCCAAACCUGAAUAAAGAUGAUUACUGGUGAUCUAGGAUUCAUGAAACACUUCCCUUGGUCUCCUUGGAAAAUAUACCAAGAUCCUUGGAUGUGGGACAUAUUAAAUUUGAGACAAUGUGUAUGAGGCCAGAUAAACAUACCUUUUUCCUCACUAGAUAGGACUCAAACUGGGAAUGGCUGUGGAAAAGUGGUAAACAGGAGCUGAAAGUUAGGUAAAGGUACCAGUGAGACCAAAAAAUCAGCUAAUUCCAAAUGUAUCAUUACCUAGGUAUUCUGAGAUGAGCUAGUGAUACAUUGAUGAGUGAAAUGUGGUUCUUACCCUUAUAGACUACUGAUUUCAAGGUGCCUUGAGCCAGAAUUGGGAUGAUAACUAUUGAUACAUCAGGCAGGGCCGUGAAGAGAUUAGGUCUGAGAGUGCCACCCUUUGGGGAUGGAAGUUGAGGACAUGAGAUCUACUCCCUACCACUGAGCCAAGAGAACACAUACUCUGAGGAAGGAAGGGGUCCCUGAUCAGCAAGGAUGCCAUGCCAAGGCCAAGUAGCAUUCAGGAGAGCUGGACUAAGGAGGUGGGUGACCAGAAAUGCACAUUUCCUGAGUAGUGUGCAUGUUUGUGCGAUGUUGCCAUGACCUUGUUUGUCUACCCAUUUACACAUGUGUGUAAGUUAGGUCAUGUGCUUCGCGCAUCAUGGUUAAAUAGGUUAUGCUGUGACCUGCAGGAAGGAAAGUCUGACACUGUGUACCUUGGGGGCAGAUUCCACAAUGAGAGCAGAUACUGGCAAGGGCUCUACCCUUUGGGGAGGAAUUUACAAAAAUAGUCUAAGGCAUUGAGCAAGAGAAGGAGGAAGUAGACAUGCACAUUUGCAGAUAAAAGCAACACUUAGAUGAAAACGAUCCAAGUUAGUGGGAAUGCUGAAAUAACAACUAUGAACUUCUCACUCCUAAAUCCUCAUCUUGGGGAUGCUAAUAUUGAAAUGGUCACUAAACUUGAAGUGUUCACUGAAAUUAUACUAUUGUUGAAAUUAAAGCAAUCAUAUUAAAGGCCAUGAUCAUUUAAUCAGAUUAAAUCUAUCACUAUUCUUUGGAGUUUAUUCAAAUAGCUAAGUACUACCAUCCAUUAAUUCUGUAUUGCUGUGUUUUGGAGAAUGAUACAAUAGAAUAGAAUAUGUACAUUGUAUAUAUUUGAUUAUUUCCUGCUCUUGAAACAUAGUGAAAACCUCAGCAAUCUGGAAGAAGACUGGCUAGAAGGAGAAAUCUUGUUGAAAUUAGUGGUCUAUUUGCAUUUAAAAAAUGAACUUUCAAAGAUUUUUCUAUAUUCUUAAAGCAAUUAAAACAAACCUGAAUAAAUGAGUGUCAAUUUAAGAUCCAGAGUAUGUUUUCUUCAGUGGUACAUUUGAGUUAUUGUAUGAAGAAUGCUUAGUAUUUGCUUUGAAAUAUGGAUUUUGCUAUAAUGGUGUUAAAAAUGGCUGGUAGCAGUUUGCAUUACCAAGUAGGUCAAUUAUAUUAUUCUGUGCACUUAGUUCUAAGGGUAGACUGUCUGGUGUCCUGUGACAGUGUUGGUAACCUCCUACCUCCCUUAAUGAAAAUCUGAUCAUUCACCUUGCAUUUUUUUCCCCUUCUUGCCUGAAUGGCCCUGGAAGAUUUGUUCCUUUGUCUUCAAAUGUUCUGUUGUCUAGAGACUUCUUUUUUUUUUUUUUACCUUAAGAUGGGUAAUAGUGCACC
rnacentral:lncRNA from 1 species